rnacentral:rRNA from 1 species
GAUGAACGCUGGCGGCGUGCCUAAUACAUGCAAGUCGAGCGAACAGACGAGGAGCUUGCUCCUCUGACGUUAGCGGCGGACGGGUGAGUAACACGUGGAUAACCUACCUAUAAGACUGGGAUAACUUCGGGAAACCGGAGCUAAUACCGGAUAAUAUAUUGAACCGCAUGGUUCAAUAGUGAAAGACGGUUUUGCUGUCACUUAUAGAUGGAUCCGCGCCGCAUUAGCUAGUUGGUAAGGUAACGGCUUACCAAGGCGACGAUGCGUAGCCGACCUGAGAGGGUGAUCGGCCACUCUGGAACUGAGACACGGUCCAGACUCCUACGGGAGGCAGCAGUAGGGAAUCUUCCGCAAUGGGCGAAAGCCUGACGGAGCAACGCCGCGUGAGUGAUGAAGGUCUUCGGAUCGUAAAACUCUGUUAUUAGGGAAGAACAAAUGUGUAAGUAACUAUGCACGUCUUGACGGUACCUAAUCAGAAAGCCACGGCUAACUACGUGC